rnacentral:rRNA from 1 species
GGACUGGAGUCUGCAACCCGACUCCACGAAGUUGGAUUCGCUAGUAAUCGCGCAUCAGCCAUGGCGCGGUGAAUACGUUCCCGGGCCUUGUACACACCGCCCGUCACACCAUGAGAGUUGGGAAUACCCGAAGCCUGUGAGCUAAACGAAAGAGGCAGCAGUCGAAGGUAGAAUCAAUGAUUGGGGUGAAGUCGUAACAAGGUAAC